UAUAAAAGCUCUAUCUGUGAAGAACCACCUGCAAGUAACCCAUCCCACCGCCAUCUUCUCCGGCGUCGUUCCCGCAGCCUAACACCAUCACCCCUGCUAUCACUUUCAACUCGUCGCCUUUUCUUCUUUUCUGUGGACUAAUUCAAAAUCCACCACCACCACCACCAUUCGUUUUAACUCCACAACAACCAUCAGUCCAUCACCGUUACCUUUCUUCUCCACAGAUCUGUGGUGGCGGUGGUUUCAGGUGGUCGCGAACCAUUUACAGGGGGCGGUGGUCUUAGGAGUUCGGGAACCAUUUACAGAGAGACACUUAGAUCCACCGGAGACGAAUGGCCGGAAAGUAGUUUCAGAAGGUCUGGAACCAUUCCUAGGGGCGGUGACUGCCGGAAAGUGAAUUUUGAAAGUGACGAAUGGCCGAAAAGUCGAUUCAAGUAUUUGGGUUUUGAAUUUCUUCUGCAUUUAUGGAAGCUGGAGAGGCUCCGUUGAUGCUGAGUAUAUGAAACUUCAUAUUGGGUGGUAGUGGCGGAUCUAGGAUUCCGACCAAGCGGGAACGUUUUAUAAAUAGGCGGUAACGAAAUCGAAAAAACGUCAAAUUUUUCCAAAAUUUACACUA
rnacentral:lncRNA from 1 species